CCCUUAGAUGUUCUGGGCCGCACGCGCGCUACACUGACAGAGCCAACGAGUUCUAUCCAUUCCUUGGCCGGAAGGCCUGGGUAAUCUUGUUAAACUCUGUCGUGCUGGGGAUAGAGCAUUGCAAUUAUUGCUCUUGAACGAGGAAUGCCUAGUAAGCGCGUGUCAUCAGCACGCGUUGAUUACGUCCCUGCCCUUUGUACACACCGCCCGUCGCUACUACCGAUUGAAUGGCUCAGUGAGGCCUUCGGACUGGCUCGGAAAGGUUGGAAACGGCCAUUCCGAGCCGGAAAGUCGGUCAAACUCGGUCAUUUAGAGGAAGUAAAAGUCGUAACA
rnacentral:rRNA from 1 species